ACAUGCCGCGGAGCAGCUGGGCCCGUGAGCCAUGGCCGCUGAGCCUGUGCGUCCGGAGCCUGUGCUCCGCAACGGGAGAGGCCACGGCAGAGGGAGGCCCGCAAACCACAAAAAAAAAAAAAAAAAAAAAAAAAAUUCAUCCUGACUCCUACCUCACAUCAUAGGCAAAAAGCAAUUCCAGAUGGACUGUAAAUUUACAUGUGAAACUUAGAAAUAAAUACCAAAUGAUAAAACUUCCAGAAGAAAACAUAGGAUAAUAUCUUCAUGGCUUUGAGUUGGCAAAAUUUUCUUUUUUUUUUUAAGUUAUUUAUCUAUCUAUCUAUCUAUCUAUCUAUCAUCUAUCUAUCUAUUUAUUUAGGCUGCACUGGGUCUCCGCUGCUGCGUGUGGGCCUCUCACUGCUGUGGCCUCUCCCGUUGUGGAGCACGGGCUCCAGGCGGGCGGGCCCCAUCAGUUGCUGCGCGUGGGCUCAGUAGUUAUGGCUCGUGGGCUCUAGAGUGCAGGCUCAGUAGCUGCGGCACGAGGGCCCAGCCGCUCCGCGGCAUGUGGGACCCUCCCGGACCAGGGAUCGAACCCGCGUCCCCUGCAUUGGCAGGCGGACCCCCAACCACUGCGCCACCAGGGAAGUCCCGGCAAAAAUUUCUUAAACAGAACAGAUAUGCACGGAAAAUAAAUAAAGGAACAAUGAUAAAUCAAGCAAUAUUAAAAUUAAAGGUUUCUGUUCAUCAAAAAAUGUCAAGAGAGUGAAAAGGCAAGCCACAGAGUGGGAGAAUAUAUUUGUAACGUGAUAAAGAACCUGUAUCCAGAAUACAUUAAGAACCACUACAAAAACAAAAAACAAAAAACAAAAUACAGACAACGUAAGAGAAAAUGGGCCAAAGACUUGAAAUAGGCACGUACACACACACACACACGCACACAAACACACACAAGGAUACAUAAAUAUACUCAAUUUAAUUAUUUAUCAGGAAAAUAAAAAAUCCCAGUGAAAUAUCCCUAUCCAUCAGAAGAGCUAAUGUUCUUAAACAAACAAUAGCAAAUGUUAGUGAGGCUGUAGGGAAAUCAGAACUCAUAUCCAUUGCUGGUGAGAAUAAAUGGGUACCAACCCAUUGAAAAACUGUCAAUAUUUACUGAAAUUAAACAUAUGUGUACCCUAUGACCAAAUACAUCUACUCCCUGUUAUACACCUAAUAAAUAUUUGUUUACUAAAGACCUAGGUAAGACUAUCCAAAGCAGCAACAUUCAUAAUAGGCAAAAAAUUGAAAACAAUACAAAUGUCCACUAACAGUAGAAUAUAUAAAUAAAUAGUUUCACUAAUAAAACAGAAUACUAUUCAUUGAUUAAUGGAGCACAUGAUGGCUGCAUACAACAUCAUAUAUAAAUAUCACGUGUUUGAUAUUGAGUGGAAGCAGCCAGACACAGAAGAGUACACACUGUAUGGUCUCAUGUACACAAAAUUCAAAAAGAGGCAAAGUCAAUUUUUGGUGAUAUGAGUGAGAGUACUGGAUGGUCUUGGGGGCUAGUGACUGGGAGGAGACAUGAGAGGGCUUCUGAGGUGCUGAGCAAGUUCUGUUUCUUGAUCUGUGUGCUGCUCACAUGGAUGUGUUCACUUGGUGAGAACUCACUGAGCUCUACACUUAGGAUUGGUGAGCUUUUCUGUAUGUAUAUUUUACUUCAAUAAAAAAUUUACUGAACUCAAAACCAAACCAAACCCUUGUUUUCAGGAUAGGGCCUGUCAAAUUCAUGGUGGUCACAUGAACAUAUAUACAGUAUGUGUUAAUUUUGCUGCAACUGAAGAGAAAGAAUGAAUGAGGAAAGGAAAACAAGAGGAAGGAGUGGGCAAGCUGGAGUGAAUUUCACCUGAAAAACGGCCAAACCGUUAACUCAAAAGCUUCCUCUCCUACCACUUCUACUUUAUCUCACUUUUCUGAAGCCUAGAUGGUCCUUACCUUCAGGAACAAGUCAUAUCUCCCAGUUCCCUCCCCAAUAUUGACAUAGAGGUGAGGGCUCUAUAAAUAGCCUUAGAAUCCUGCUAUCAUGAACUCAAACAUGAUAGAAGAGGUAAAGGAAAAUAUAGACCCAGUAUUAAUUGAAUAGGUCUCAAGGCAUUUAAAAUCAGAGUCCUUUCAGAGGGAGGGCUGCAGGGAGGAUGUGAUAUUGGAAGGUUUCAGUCUCACCCGACUUCUCCAAAAAGGAAAUCUCUCACUGUAGCAUAGGCCAGGCCUGGAGGUCCUGGGAUGCUCAGUAUCACUUCUGCCACCUGAAUGGCAUGGAAGUCCUCUGAAUAGGCAGCAAAAGGACUAGCUCUUCCUGCCUCUUUCUCCUUCCCUCUGCUAAAGCAGGUACCAUUUGCAAAAAGCAACUGGUGACUCUAGGGCCUGGUGUCUUCAAUAGGAAUCUAGACUGGUCCAAUAUUUUCAGGGAUUUCCAAAAUCUCCCAGCAGUGAGGGCCCUUGUGGGCUUCAGAAGGCUGCACAGACUUUGCUGCAAUGUGGGGAUUUAAAAAGUGAACUGGUAGACUUAAGAGUAGGAUGUUUAACAUGGACUGCUUCCCAAUGAGCUGGAAUUUAAUGGUAAUAUUAUCCCAUCUGAGGAUGUUGCUAGAAGGUGGAUGGCAUACCCUACCUGAUUACUGAGGAGAUGGUGUCUCCACUCCUACCCUCUUACAUGUUACCUACAGGCCUCUGUGCAGUUGAUUUUUCAACCUGAAUGAUGAGGAUACAGCCUUCUGGAGCUGAUAAAAGCCUUUUACUUGCCCUCUUCUGUUGUGGGCUGAAUUGUGUCUCCCCCAAAUUCAUAUGCUGAAGUCUUAACGUUGGUACCUCAGAAUGAGACUUUAUUUGGAGAUAGAGUCUUCAAAGAGGUAACUAAGUUAAAGUGAGGUCAUUAGGGUAGGCCCUAAUCCAAUAUGACUGGUGUCUUUAUAAGAACAAUAAAUUUGGACACAGAUGCAUACCAAGGGGAAAUGAUGUGAAGACAUAGGGAGAAGAAAGCCAUCAACUAGCCAAGGAGAGAGGCCUCAGAAGAAGCCAACCUUGCCAACACCUUGAUCUUGGACUUCCAGACUCCAGAAUUGUACAAAAGCCAGCAGGACAAGUUCAAGACCUUUUACUACUUGACAGUCCUUAAGGUAUUUGAAAAUGGUUAUUAUGUACCUGAACUAUCCCCUUUCUAGGUUAAAAAUCUCUAGUUUCUUCAGCUGUGUCACACGUUCAUGCAGUAUAGUCCCAAACAGUCUCUUUAUCUGAAUAUUUUCCAAAUCUCCCAAGAAAGGCGCCGAGUUGAAUUCUGUUCCUAGCUUUGCCAUUAACUAGUUGUGUGUGGCUGCGAAAUUUCCUCAUCUGCAAAAUGAUGGAGUUGAACUAUUUAUAAGGCACUUCUUCAUCUAAAAAUCCCAUUAUUCUAUUUCAAAGCAAUGAUUUCCAUUUUCCUUAUCUGACAGUCAUUGGCUUCCGCCAAUAAAAUAGAGUUACACUGGCUCUUUGUUGACAAUCGCUCUUUCUUUACUAAUGGAGGUGGUCUUACUCCUUCCACAAAUAUAAAAGAUAGAGAGGUUUGGCUGGAGCUAUGGGCAUCAUAUCAUGACUGCUGCAAUCUUAAUUCAUUCGCAGUGCCAUUUAGGGAUGAACUGCUGUUACCUGUUACAAGGACUAGGUCUUGCAGAGAUACAGAGAGGGAAAGGAGAAGAUGAGAAAAGGCACCGGUAACUCAUUUAUUUCUACAGACUGGUACCCAUGUCAGUGGGGAAACAACAGCUCUGUGGACCCCGGAAGUUUUCAUAAAGCUCAAGGACCCUUAUAUCACAUAUUUACAUACAAACCCCAAACCAUUCUUUGUUGCUGUUGUACUCUGUCCUGUUCUGCACCAGGUUUCCAUGCAAGUUCAUCCCUAGGGUCAGCUGUCACCCAUGGGUGACUCCAUAGAACCCCCCCAAUUUCAUGUCUGGGAGACCUGUGAACUCACUUUUCUGUGUUUCAAGGAGAUUAUAGUCUGGGGAGCGAUGUGAGGUCCUUGGAUACCUUGUCUGGCUCUUUAUGCCUUUUCUUAGCAAUGACCCAACGGCUAGUUUGUUUUCUUCCAAGGGUGUGCAAACCAAAAUAUGCUUUUGUGAUCCAACUUUAGCAAAGAACUAGAUGUUUAAUAUCUGUUCUAGCUUAUGGGCACCAGUUGGUAUUAAACUGUCCUUUUUUUUUUUUCUUCUUGUACAUUUAGUUUUUGUUCUGCUUUUUGGGUCACGCCUGCUUUCCCCACUGUCUCCAGACGGUUAAAUCUACUUGCAUGUAAAAUGCUGCUUUAACUUGAAUAUUCAAAUGCAUUUUACGGUCAGUUUUACUCUUUAUCGUUAUAUUUCUUCACAUUUGUUUAUUUAUUUUACCAAAUUAUUAUGACACAAGGUUCAGAGCCAUAAAGGCCAGAAGUUGUCCCCACUUUUAUCUGAGGGUGUGCUACCUUGUGGGCACACGUAAACAGAGCCCUCAAGCCUGCUUACCGUGCUGUUCACCUGCUGCCUUGCAGUUGAUGGCUCUUGUGAGGUCCCCAGGCUAGACAGAGCAAGCGAUGCUAACGGGCCUCUUCCACCUGGAGAGGGGACAUGGUUCUUCUCACGUCAUGCUUGAGUUCAAGCUCAGUUGUGUUGACGGCUUCAAGAUGCCAGCCUUGAUCCUGCUGCUUCAGAACCGGCUCUUUCUCUGCUCUGUAAUUGAUGGCACUGCUGCCACCACCACCAUCAAAGCAGACGCAGUGUCUUCCCAUGGCAUCACCAGCUCCUCUCCAUCACAAAAAAUACUACGGCCCUUUUCACAUCUCAGAGCCCAAGCCUUCUUGUACCCAGGGAAACAGGGGGUUCUUCCUUGCAUUUUCUGCCCCAGGAUUUACCCUCUUCCCAAGAUGAUCGAUACUGGAAAUAUCCACUCCCUGGGGCCCAUGUGAUAACAAUUUAAAAUCUCUCUGAUUUGGGACAUUUCCCCAAAACUAGGUUUCACUAUUCCGUGGUCAUCCAGGUACACAUAAAUGGUUCUGGAAAUAUGCGUAACAGAAUAUUUGGGGCUUCCCUGGUGGCGCAGUGGUUAAGAAUCCGCCUGCCAGUGCAGGAGACACUGGUUUGAGCCCUGGUCUGGGAAGAUCCCACAUGCCAUGGAGCAACUAAGCCUGUGCGCCACAACUACUGAGCCUGCGCUCUAGAGCUCGCGAGCCACAACUGCUGAGCCCGAGUGCCACAACUACUGAAGCCCGUGCGCCUAGAGCCCGUGCUCCGCAAUGAGAGAAGCCACUGCAGUGAGAAGCCCGCGCACCGCAACGAAGAGUAGCCCCCGCUCGCCGCAACUAGAGAAAGCCCGUGCGCAGCAACGAAGACCCAACGCAGCCAAAAAUAAAUAAAUAAAUAAAUUUAUUUUUUAAAAAAAAGGAAUAUUUGUCCAGCUUUAACUUCUAAUUAACCAUACGACACAGCUACCGAUGUGAUCUUGGACAAGUCAUUACCCUCUUAGAGUCUCAACUUCAGUAAAAGAGAAAUGCCGUCUCUGCCUUGCUUACCUCUCAAGAGUGCUUGUGGAAGAAAGAACUUUGUUUUGUGGGUGCCAGUUAUUCCAAGACCUUGUGGGGUUGCCCAGGUGCCUAUCGGGUCAGCAGCCGGGAUGGUUGGAGAUCUUAGCUCUUGAGCCUGGUCGAUGGGAUGUGCCUGGUUGAAGAAAAAAAAAAAAUGUAUAGCCUUGGUGGGGCAAUGCAGUUUUGGAGUAUCUGGAGAGGCUGCCGGCUGUGAUGCCGAACUUUGUGCUCAUAUGGGGAAUGAGAGAACCACCACCACAAUCAAGACCUAGGACAGGAGAAUGAAAUGAAAACCCUGUAGUCCAAGGCAACUUUGUGGAUCAGGCGCUGUGGGCUGAAUCCUGGAGAAGGACAAGUCCAAGCGGUCAGCCUCUAACCACUGUCCUUCUACUGUUGAUCACUGUGGUACCGUAAGCCGUCGUCGGGGAGCUCUGGGAGAAAGAAAACCUCCCUGCCUCCACCUCCCCCUUCCAAGGGCCAGAGUCCUACUUCCCAAAUCGGCAUGUUAAUCUUCUCCGCAGAAAGGGUAUUGUCCAGUGCGCUGCAUCCGACAGGCUGUAUCCUGAGAUCUGACCAAGACUGGAACUUGGAGGAGAUUCAGCUGGCUUUGAUUCAAACCAGACAGACUGAAACAAUGUCAACAGUCAGGGGAAGGAUUCUAGACCCUGCAAGAAAUGCUUCUUCACCUUCAGCCUGAGGACUGUAGACUCUUAGCAUGAGCCUUCUAGCAGUCCAAGUGUCCUUCUGCACUGCCACCCUGCACAGAACCAUGGAUGAAGGUCUUCAAUGGGAAAAGAUAACGGUUGAAAAUUUUUCAGUAAUAACACUAAGUGAUAUUGCAGCCAUGUCAAGAUAUCAUGGGUAGAAACAACAGAAGCUUAUUCACAAAAUAGAAGAUUCUUAGUUGUAGAAAAUUAGCCUAAACUCCUUGGAGAACUCUUAAUGCUGCUGUUUACUGAGUGUUGACCAUGACCAGAACAUUAGACCCAUAUAAUUGUCUGGGCUCAGUUGGGUGGAAAAUAUACUGUCUCUAAGAGGGAAAUAAAAUGGAGUGGAGAAUUGGCAAG